CUAAGGCCCAGGACCUCUUUAGUGAGUGGACCUUAAGACCUGUUGGCCCAGAUGGAAGAGUAAAGCUGUGGGUUUACGCCGUGACUGCUGUUGGAUUCAUCUUCAUUCUCUUCAUUAUUGCAUUAUCCUUCCUGGUUUGCAAGCCGUCGAAAUCUACGAAGACGUCUCCUCCGCCGCAGAAGCCCUUGACCCUGGCCUACGAUGGUGACAUAGAU